rnacentral:tRNA from 1 species
GCUCGGAUGGCGGAACUGGUAGACGCACAGGACUUAAAAUCCUGCGGGCCUCAAAGCCCGUACCGGUUCGAUUCCGGUUCCGAGCA